rnacentral:rRNA from 1 species
UAAGAAGGGGGCUAGCGUUGUUCGGAAUUACUGGGCGUAAAGCGCACGUAGGUGGACUUUUAAGUCAGGUGUGAAAUCCCGGGGCUCAACCUCGGAACUGCAUUUGAAACUGGAAGUCUUGAGACCAGGAGAGGUUAGCGAAAUACCGAGUGUAGAGGUGAAAUUCGUAGAUAUUCGGUGGAACACCAGUGGCGAAGGCGGCUAACUGGACUGGUACUGACGCUGAGGUGCGAAAGUGUGGGGAGCAAACAGG